rnacentral:rRNA from 1 species
CUCCUACGGGGGGCAGCAGUGAGGAAUAUUGGUCAACGGACGAGAGUCUGAACCAGCCAAGUAGCGUGAAGGAUGACUGCCCUAUGGGUUGUAAACUUCUUUUAUAUGGGAAUAAAGUUUUCCACAUGUGGAAUUUUGUAUGUACCAUAUGAAUAAGGAUCGACUAACUCCGUGCCAGCAGCCGCGGUAAUACGGAGGAUCCGAGCGUUAUCCGGAUUUAUUGGGUUUAAAGGGAGCGUAGGUGGAUUGUUAAGUCAGUUGUGAAAGUUUGCGGCUCAACCGUAAAAUUGCAGUUGAAACUGGCA